rnacentral:rRNA from 1 species
UACAGAGGUGGCAAGCGUUGUUCGGAAUUACUGGCGUAAGGGCGCGUAGGCGGUUCGUUAAGUCCUGUGUGAAUCCCCGGCUCAACUGGGGAACUGCAGUCGAAACUGCAAAUCUUGAAUGUCUGAGAGGAUGGCGGAAUUCCCGGUGUAGUAGUGAAAUACGUAGAUAUCGGGAAGAACACCUGAGGCGAAGGCGGCUAUCUGGCGGUACAUUGACGCUAAGGCGCGAAAGCGUGGGGAGCAAACAGG